rnacentral:rRNA from 1 species
UACGGAGGGCGCUAGCGUUGUCCGGAAUUAUUGGGCGUAAAGAGCGUGUAGGCGGUUGGGAAAGUCAGAUGUGAAAGCCCUGGGCUCAACCCAGGAAGGGCAUUUGAAACUACCUACCUUGAGUACGGGAGAGGAAGGGGGAAUUCCCGGUGUAAAGGUGAAAUUCGUAUAUAUCGUCAGGAAUACCGGGGGCGAAGGCGCCCUUCUGGACUGAUACUGACGCUAAAACGCGAAAGCGCGGGGAGCAAACAGGAUUAAAUACCCUGAUAGUCCACGCCGUAAACGAUGAGCACUAGGUGUAGCGGGAAUUGACCCCUGCUGUGCCGGACCUAACGCAUUAAGUGCUCCGCCUGGGGAUUACGGUCGCAAGACUAAAACUCAAAGGAAUUGACGGGGGCCCGCACAAGCGGUGGAGCAUGUGGUUUAAUUCGACGCAACGCGAAGAACCUUACCUGGGCUUGACAUCCCCGGACAGCCCUGGAAACAGGGUCUUCCACUUCGGUGGGCCGGGUGACAGGUGCUGCAUGACUGUCGUCAGCUCGUGUCGUGAGAUGGUGAGUUAAGUCCCGCAACGAGCGCAGCCCUUGCCUUUAGUUGCCAUCAUUUAGCUGGGCCCUCUAAAGGGACUGCCGGUGUUAACCCGGAGGAAGGUGGGGACGACGUCAAGUCCUCAUGGCCUUUAUGUCUCAGGGCUACACACGUGCUACAAUGGGCGGCACAAAGGGCAGCAACACCGCGAGGUGAAGCAAAUCCCAAAAAACCGCUCUCAGUUCGGAUCGGAGUCUGCAACUCGACUCCGUGAAGGUGGAAUCCCUAGUAAUCGUGGAUCAUCAUCCCACGGUGAAUACGUUCCCGGUCCU